AAAGACAGAAUAGGUAAUAACAUAAAAGACAGAAUAGGUAAUAACAUAGACAAAAUAGGUAAUAACAUAAAAGACAGAAUAGGUAAUAACAGACAAAAUAGGUAAUAACAUAAAAGACAUAACAGAAUAGGUAAUAACAUAAAAUACAUACAACACAGAAUAGGUAACAACAUAAAAGACAGAAUAGGUAAUAACAUAGACAAAAUAGGUAAUAACAUAAAAGACAUAACAGAAUAGGUAAUAACAUAAAAUACAUAUAACACAGAAUAGGUAACAACAUAAAAGACAGAAUAGGUAAUAAUAUAAAAGACAUAACACAGAAUAGGUAAUAACAACAUAAAAGACAGAAUAGGUAAUAACCUAAAAUACAUAAGACAGAAUAGGUAAUAACAUAAAAGACAUAUGACACAGAAUAGGUAAUAACAUAAGACAGAAUAGGUAAUAACAUAAAAUACAUAAAAGACAGAAUAGGUAACAACAUAAAAGACAGAAUAGGUAAUAACAUAAAAGACAUGACACAGAAUAGGUAACAACAUAAAAGACAGAAUAGGUAAUAACAUAGACAAAAUAGGUAAUAACAUAAAAGACAGAAUAGGUAAUAACAGACAAAAUAGGUAAUAACAUAAAAGACAUAUAACAGAAUAGGUAAUAACAUAAAAUACAUAUAACACAGAAUAGGUAACAACAUAAAAGACAGAAUAGGUAAUAAUAUAAAAGACAGAAUAAAAGACAUAUAACACAGAAUAGGUAAUAACAUAAAAGACGGAAUAGGUAAUAACCUAAAAUACAUAAGACAGAAUAGGUAAUAACAUAAAAGACAUAACACAGAAUAGGUAACAACAGAAUAGGUAAUAACAUAAAAGACAGAAUAGGUAAUAACAUAAAAGACAGAAUAGGUAAUAACAUAAAGGACAGAAUAGGUAACAACAUAAAAGACAGAAUAGGUAAUAACAUAAGUACCAAUGAUUGUCACACACACACAAGGUGUGGCGAAACUUGUCCUCUGCAUUUGACCCAUCCCCUUGUUCACCCCCUGUGAGGUGAGGGGAGCAGUGGGGAGCAGCGGUGCCGCGCCCGGGAAUCAUUUUUGGUGAUUUAACCCCCAAUUCCAACCCUUGAUGCUGAGUGCCAAGGCUCCCAUUUAUUUAGGCCGGGGUUUGAACUCACACCCUACCCAUCUCAGGGCGGACACUCUAACCACUAGAACACUGAGUAGGUAAUAACAUAAAAGACAUAACACAGAAUAGGUAAUAACAUAAAAGACAGAAUAGGUAAUAACAUAAAAGACAUAUACCACAGAAUAGGUAAUAACGUGAAAGACAUGCCACAGAUAAGGUAAUAACAUAAAAGACAACACAGAAUAGGUAAUAACAUAAAAGACAUAUACCACAGAAUAGGUAAUAACAUGAAAGACAUAACACAGAAUAGGUAAUAACAUAAAAGACAUAACACAGAAUAGGUAAUAACAUAAAAGACAUAACACAGAAUAGGUAAUAACAUAAAAGACAUGCCACAGAUAAGGUAAUAACAUAAAAGACAUGCCACAGAAUAGGUAAUAACAUAAAAGACAUAACACAGAAUAGGUAAUAACAUGAAAGACAUGCCACAGAUAAGGUAAUAACAUAAAAGACAUGCCACAGAAUAGGUAAUAACGUGAAAGACAUGCCACAGAUAAAUUGUAAUAACAUAAAAGACAUAUACCACAGAAUAGGUAAUAACAUGAAAGACAUGCCACAGAUAAGGUAAUGACAUAAAAGACAUAACACAGAAUAGGUCAUAACAUAAACGACAUGCCACAGAAUAGGUCAUAACAUAAAAGACAUAACACAGAAUAGGUAAUAACAUAAAAUACAUAACAACAUGAAAGACAUGCCACAGCUAAGGUAAUAACAUAAAAGACAUGCCACAGAAUAGGUAAUAACAUAAAAGACAUAAUAGGUAAUAACAUAAAAGAUAGAAUAGGUCAUGGCCGAGGGGAAAAAGUGUUCUGUUCAAUCCACUAAUGGUAAUCAAACUAGCGGUGGUGGUGUUGUUCUAUUUUUCAGUUUACAAGUUGCAAACAGCCCUUUAAAAGUCCAACAAUGACUUGUGCACCCAGCAUUUGUGUACCGUGUGUGCAGGACCAGCUGCUGUUCUGUGACGACUGUGACCGAGGUUACCACAUGUACUGCCUUUCUCCCCCCAUGACAGAACCGCCCGAGGGAAGCUGGAGCUGCCACCUGUGCCUGGCUCUGCUCAAGGAGAAAGCCUCCAUAUACCAGCAGAACCAGAACCAGAACCCGGCCUCCGAGUGACCUGGCACCCACUAGUUAGAAGUCUCCAUCUACAUGGAAGCAAAACAGACCUCAGACCAGUUGAAGGCAACCUGGAAGGCUCGGCUCACACAUAAAUAUGUCUUGGAGGCAUGCGGUAACCAUAGCAACAGCUGUCUCCAUGGGAACGCUGGGCAGUUGCAUCACAGCUAAUUAUCUGCAUGUUGCCAAGUCAUCCGUUUCCAUAUGAGUUGGGAACUGGUGUUAGAUGUAAAUAUAAACAGAAUAUGCAAAUCAUUGUAUUGUGUUUAUAUUUACAUCUAACACCAGUUCCCAACUCAUAUGGAAACAGGGUUGGUAUGUUAACUUGCCAGAAGCCGCGUGGGCAAAUAUAACAAACAGUACGUUGCUGGAGAAUUAUUAUUGUUAUUGUUCUCGUGGAUUUUUGUAGUGUACUUUGUCCGAUUCCAUUGGAGGGCUUUCACCUUGGAACGAGUCCAGCUAGGACUUGUUGAGCUCAGUCUGUUACUGUCAGGCCAACACCAUGGAGAGGAUUUACUCAUCACAAGACAUGUUUUUGUUAGUAUAUCAUAUCCUCUUACUUUCAGCGUCCUGCAUACGGUAGCCUCGGUAUGACGCUUGGCACACCAUCUGUACCGUAGUAGAAAGCACCCACAGCAACACACUCGCAUCCUUCUUUUUGAGAAAAUACAAAUAAAAAAAUGACCUGCUAUUCCGUCGGUGUUGGGAGAAUUUUCUAGUCCAGUUUUGUAAAGUGUGUGCCGUACACUUCUACCAAGAUCAUGCAUUCUAUGUACUGUGUUGCCUUUUUUGUUAUAACUGUGACAUCUGUUCAAUUCAUUUGACUGUUCAAAUAUGUCAGACCUCCAUUUUGAGUAUUUGUAAAAUGAUGUACUUUGUUGUACUAUUUUAAUUUUUUUACAUUUUUUCGACUAGCCUGACUGAAAUAAACAUCACUUUUCAUUGGAA